UACGGAGGGUGCAAGCGUUGUUCGGAAUGACUGGGCGUAAAGCGCACGUAGGCGGGUCCGUAAGUCGGAUGUGAAAUCCCCAGGCUUAACCUGGGAACUGCACCCGAAACUAUGGAUCUUGAAUGCUUGAGAGGUUGGUGGAAUUCCAGGUGUAGGAGUGAAAUCCGUAGAUAUCUGGAGGAACACCGGAGGCGAAGGCGGCCAACUGGCAAUGCAUUGAC
rnacentral:rRNA from 1 species